rnacentral:sRNA from 1 species
AACACAAGGACAUUCAGAGUUGUACAGUAGAAGUUCAUUUUCAAAAGAUAAUUGAUAAGGAAGGGGAUGAUUAUGAAGUCAUUCCUAACAGUAAUUUCUGUGUAUCCAGAACGGCCUACAGAGAUAAUACUUCUGUCUAUCACAUAAGUGGAAAGAAAAAGACAUUUAAGGAUGUUGGAAAUCUUCUUCGAAGCCAUGGAAUUGACUUGGACCAUAAUAGAUUUUUAAUUUUACAGGGCGAAGUUGAACAAAUUGCUAUGAUGAAACCAAAAGGCCAGACUGAACACGAUGAGGGUAUGCUUGAAUAUUUAGAAGAUAUAAUUGGUUGUGGACGGCUAAAUGAACCUAUUAAAGUCUUGUGUUGGAGAGUUGAAAUAUUAAAUGAACACAGAGGAGAGAAGAGAAACAUGAAGACUGAAGUGAAAAAAAAUCUCUAAACAUUGUUUUGUGUGACUGGAUGUGUUAGCUCAUGCCUGUAAUUCAGCACUUUGGGAGGCUAAGGCAGGAGGAUCACUUGAGGCUGGGAGUUCAAGACCAGCCUGGGCAACAUAGCAAGACCCCAUCUCUACAAAAAAAGGAAUUAUGUGGUGAACUUAUCCAAUGUGAGGACUAUCUGGCUGUGACACCUGUCACCCCGUUGAUCACCAGGGUUGAAUUUAUUAAAUUAGGCAUAUUUAUCAAUUCAUUGAAGUUGACUUUUUAGUAUCCUGCUUUAAGUUGGGAGGUA